AUACGGAGGAUCCGAGCGUUAUCCGGAUUUAUUGGGUUUAAAGGGUGCGCAGGCGGCCAUUUAAGUAAGCGGUUAAAUUGUGGGGCUCAACCCCAUUCUGCCGUUGAUACUGGGUGGCUUGAUUGCGGUCGAGGUUGGCGGAAUUCGUUGUGUAGCGGUGAAAUGCAUAGAUAUGACGAAGAACACCGAUUGCGUAGGCAGCUGACCAGACCGCAAAUGACGCUCAUGCACGAAAGUGCGGGGAUCGAACAGGAUUAGAUACCCUGGUAGUCCGCACAGUAAACGAUGAAUACUUGUUUUCGGCGAUAUAAUGUCGGAGGCAAAGCGAAAGCGAUAAGUAUUCCACCUGGGUAGUACGCCGGCAACGGUGAAACUCAAAUGAAUUGACGGGG
rnacentral:rRNA from 1 species